UUAGAAUGUUCUAAUAAUUGUAACAUGUCGAACAGCAUGACAAUGUUUUAAGUAUAGGGGGUAGAUCAGCUUUAAUAUUGCAGACAGAUUGAGGGUUCUAUCAAUGUAAUUGUUUGCAUCCUUUUUAUUUUUGUUUCAAACAAAUUAGCAAUUUUGAUCCCAAUGUCACACAUUAGCCCCAUUAUUUAUAGAAAGACCCAUAAGGGCAGUUAACAUGCAAACACAUACACACAUGGCAGUAAAAACACAUGGCAUGCCCCCCACCCCACAUACACUGCAACCACAUCGUUGUUUGUGUGGUUUAGGCUCGGACCACCGUUAUUUGUGUGGUUUAGGCCCGGACUCAGCAAAGCAUGCUGAGCAUCUGGUAAAUGCCUCUUAGGUCGCAAGAUGGGGCUUGGGCUGGUGUAUUAGUGGGGGUUGGGCCUAUUGCUCUGCUCACGGUUUGGGAAUACUGUAUUUGUGGCUGUCAUGUUGAGGACCUUGCAUACAUGAAGGGAAUGGUUAGUGAGAAAGUCCAUAUUGCAAAUGUACGCUCCCUUACUAGACGUCCGACUACGUCCGAUAAAUCCGCGGACGGCGUCGGGCCGCUCACAGGGUCCGGAUCUUCCAGGAAGUCAUCGAACGGAGUCUCUCGCACCUUCUGUUUCCGUUUAAUAACAUUUUCAAAUUUUGGUCAUUUCUUUGCAGUUCCGGAUUAUUCCACGGGAGGGCGAAUGGAAUCAUAUUGCAAACGUAACAUAUAUCACCAAUCACGACACGGCUUUUUCUCCUAAACGGAAAAGAAUUCGAAGACGAAACUAGGUCUGCGUGGGUUUGGC
rnacentral:lncRNA from 1 species